rnacentral:lncRNA from 1 species
AAGAUGUGAAGAUUUACAGCUUGAUAAACCAGCUUCAGGAGACAUGAUCUUAUGAAUUCAACACAUGAAGAUUUACAACUUGAUAAACCAGCUUCAGGAGAUCAGAACUUCUUAUAAUACAACUGACGUUACUCAGCCUAGAACAAAUACAACAGGGAUUGUGCUGCAUUCUGACUUGGAUUCUGCCAUCGAACACAGAAUGCCCUGAUCCUUAGAUGCAGAGGCAGCUCUUCAGCCUAUGGGGGCUGCUGUAAAAUAUUACAGGCAUACUUUGGAGAUGUUACGGGUUUGGUUCCACAUCACUGCAA